rnacentral:rRNA from 1 species
AGAGUUUGAUCCUGGCUCAGGACGAACGCUGGCGGCGUGCCUAACACAUGCAAGUCGAGCGGAGACAGUGAGUAGCUUGCUAUGAGCUGUUUUAGCGGCGGACGGGUGAGUAACGCGUGAGCAACCUUUCCCAGACAGGGGUAAUAACCCACCGGAAAGGUGUACUAAUACCGCAUAAGACCACGGGAUCACAUGGUUCUGGGGUAAAAGAUUUUAUCGGUUUGGGGUGGGCUCGCGUCCGAUU